GUAAAGACAGUGAGUUGGUCUGAAAUGCUGUCCUAGAGCAAUUUUAUAAGUUCAAGUUGAGCUAAAACUUUUUUUUUUUAAAAAAGAUUAAACGCUUAAUGAAGUGUUUUUCAUGUUACGAGCAGUUUUUGCUCAAACGCAUUAGAGUUCUAUGCAGUCCCUUAAAAUGAAAUAAUACCUUUAUUUCUUUAGCUCACUGGUUUGUUGCAAAAAAUUCCCUUUUUCUCUAAAGGAGGCUAACAAAGUUAUUCUUGAGCUUUACAGUGACUGGGGAGAAAGGAUUAACAAUCUUGGUUGCUUGUUUCAGGGAAUAUAUUUGUUUUUGGAUUGUUUCUGUCUCCAAUACCUACAUUCAGGAGAGUAAUCAGAAAUCAAUCAACCGAACAGUUCUCAGGGUUGCCAUACUAUAGUAACAUAUAUGGGCUAUUGAACUACUUGAUCUGUGCCUGUUUAGGAUGCUGGAAUGGAUACUCACAGUCUUUGGCCUAUUUGCAAUUAUUGUAAUUGGAAGCUUGCUUAUACUUGACCUUCAACUCCGACGCAUCAUCAUUGGCUCCCUGAGUUGUGCUUCCCUAGCUCAUAUCAAUGUUUGCUUCCCCACUGUUUAUUAUUAAUCUGGUGAUCAGGACCAGGAGCGUCGAAUUCAUGCCACUUUACCUGUCCCUCUCUACCUUCCUAAUGAGUGCCUCUUUCUUUUUGUAUGGAACUUUCAGUUUCGAUCCUUUUAUAUAUGGAGUAGGAACACUUCUAGGAGUUACGUUGUACAAUUGUUUUUAUUUGCAUAUUACAGAAAUUCUUCAAGAGGAGACUUUACUGAAGGCUUUAUAGUGUCUUAUUAGUGAACUUCUCAGAAAAAAAAUAAAAAGAAAAUAGUGUCUUAUCCGUGAAAGAACACCUUGGGGGAAAGGUAAAUGCUCGAUACCUUUAGCGUCUGUUUCAUCCAAAGAAUCUAAUGCUAAUAAUCUCUAAAUGUGCAUUCUGUUAAAUAAGGAGUAUAGUUUCUGAUUUGUAUGUUUCCCUUUAUUCUGUCCUAGGUGAGAAUAGCGCGCACUAGAUCGCGUGGAGAAUGAUGGAAAUGCCAAGCUCAAGGUGAUGGCAGUUUCCUAGUCAUUGAACGCCUUAAACUGUAUGUAAUAUGGCCAUUAUUUUGUCAAAUGGAGUCCAUUUCACGUAAGUAUAAGUAUCUUUACAAAGUGUAGACUUGGGACCCAAAAAUAUUGCAUUGUGUGUUGGACAUCAU